UGACUUCGGUCACGAGCGGCGGACGGGUGAGUAACACGUAGGUAAUUUACCCUCAGGUGGGGAAUAACCCGGGGAAACCCGAGCUAAUACCGCAUAUGGUCUUCGGAUCAAAGCCUUCGGGCGCCAGAGGAUGAGCCUGCGUCCCAUUACCUAGUUGGUAGGGUAACGGCCUACCAAGGGGACGAUGGGUAGCUGGUCUGAGAGGAUGAUCAGCCACACUGGGACUGAGACACGGCCCAGACUCCUACGGGAGGCAGCAGUGGGGAAUAUUGCGCAAUGGGCGAAAGCCUGACGCAGCUACGCCGCGUGGGUGAUGAAGGUCUUCGGA
rnacentral:rRNA from 1 species